AAUCAACGCUGGCGGCGUGCCUAACACAUGCAAGUCGAACGAGAAAGGGGGAGCAAUCCCUGAGUACAGUGGCGACCGGGUGAGUAACACGUGACUACCUACCCUUGAGUGGGGGAUAACCUCGGGAAACCGAGGCUAAUACCGCAUAAUAUCGAGAGAUCAAAGGAGCAAUCCGCUCUUGGAGGGGGUCGGCGGCUGAUUAGCUAGUUGGUGAGGUAAUGGCUCACCAAGGCGAAGAUCGGUAUCCGGCCUGAGAGGGCGCACGGACACACUGGAACUGAAACACGGUCCAGACUCCUACGGGAGGCAGCAGGUGGGGGAAUUUUGCGCAAUAGGGGGAAACCCUGACGCAGCAACGCCGCGUGGAGGAUGAAGCUCC
rnacentral:rRNA from 1 species